rnacentral:rRNA from 1 species
UACGAAGGGGGCUAGCGUUGCUCGGAAUCACUGGGCGUAAAGGGUGCGUAGGCGGGUCUUUAAGUUAGAGGUGAAAGCCCGGGGCUCAACUCCGGAAUUGCCUUUAAGACUGCAUCGCUAGAAUCGUGGAGAGGUAAGUGGAAUUCCGAGUGUAGAGGUGAAAUUCGUAGAUAUUCGGAAGAACACCAGUGGCGAAGGCGACUUACUGGACACGUAUUGACGCUGAGGUGCGAAAGCGUGGGGAGCAAACAGG